rnacentral:rRNA from 1 species
AUUGAACGCUGGCGGCAGGCCUAACACAUGCAAGUCGAACGAGUGGCGGACGUGUGAGUAAUGUCUGGGUAACUGCCUGAUGGGGGGGGGUAACUACUGGAAACGGUAGCUAAUACCGCAUACCAUCGGAUGUGCCCAGAUGGGAUUAGCUAGUGGGUGGGGGAACGGCUCACCUAGGCGACGAUCCCUAGCUGGUCUGAGAGGAUGACAAGCAACACUGGAACGGAGACACGGGCCAGACUCCUACGGGAGGAAGAAGUGGGGAAUAUGGCACAAUGGGCGCAAGCCUGAUGCAGCAAUGCCGCGUGUGUGAAGAAGGCCUUCGGGUUGUAAAGUACUUUCAGCGGGGAGGCGUUACCCGCAGAAGAAGCACCGGCUAACUCCGUGCCAGCAGCCGCGGUAAUUC